UCCGGGAGUGGUGGCACAUACCUGUAGUCCCAGCUACUCGGGAGGCUGAGGCAGGAGGAUCACUUGAGCCAGGAGUUCUGGGCUGUAGUGCACUAUGCCAAUCAGGUGUCUGUACUAAGUUCAGCAUCAAUAUGGCAACCUCCUGGGAGCAGGGCACCACCAGGAUGCCUAAGGAGGGGUGAACCAGAAACAAAGCGGGUCAAAACUGUCGUCCUGAUCAGUGGUGGGAUCGCAUCUGUGAAUAGCCACUGCACUCCUGCCUGGGAAACAUAGCAGAACACGUCUCU
rnacentral:SRP_RNA from 1 species